AGAAUCAACGCUGGCGGCGUGCCUCAGACAUGCAAGUCGAACGAUUAAACUUUCCUUCGGGAAAGAUAUAAAGUGGCGCACGGGUGAGUAACACGUAAGUAAUCUACCUCGGGGUGGGGAAUAACGUUCGGAAACGAACGCUAAUACCGCAUAAUGCAGCGGCUUCUUAUGAAGACAGUUGUUAAAGCAUUUAUGUGCCUGGAGAGGAGCUUGCGGCAGAUUAGCUAGUUGGUAAGGUAAUGGCUUACCAAGGCGACGAUCUGUAGCCGACCCUGAGAGGGUGGUCGGUCACACUGACACUGAAUAACGGGUCAGACUCCUACGGAGGCAGCAGUCGGGAAUUUUGGGCAAUGGGCGAAAGCCUGACCCAGCAACGCCGCGUGAAGGAUGAAGUAUUUCGGUAUGUAAACUUCGUAAAAAUGGGAAGAAUAAAUGACGGUACCAUUUGUAAGGUCCGGCUAACUACGUGCCAGCAGCCGC
rnacentral:rRNA from 1 species